UACGGAGGAUGCGAGCGUUAUCCGGAUUUAUUGGGUUUAAAGGGUGCGCAGGCGGGCUUUUAAGUCAGCGGUGAAAUCUGGACGCUCAACGUUCAAAUUGCCGUUGAAACUGAUUGUCUUGAGUGUAAACGAAGUAGGCGGAAUUCGUUGUGUAGCGGUGAAAUGCAUAGAUAUAACGAGGAACCCCAAUUGCGUAGGCAGCUUACUAGGAUACAACUGACGCUCAUGCACGAAAGUGUGGGUAUCAAACAGG
rnacentral:rRNA from 1 species